rnacentral:rRNA from 1 species
UACGUAGGUGGCAAGCGUUGUCCGGAUUUACUGGGCGUAAAGAGCGCGCAGGCGGUCGUUCAAGUCGCGUGUGAAAGCCCCCGGCUCAACUGGGGAGGGUCACUCGAUACUGGUCGACUCGAAGGCAGGAGAGGGAAGCGGAAUUCCCGGUGUAGUGGUGAAAUGCGUAGAUAUCGGGAGGAACACCAGUGGCGAAGGCGGCUUUCUGGCCUGCUCUUGACGCUGAGGCGCGAAAGCUAGGGUAGCAAACGGG